CUACGUCUCUGCUUAGUUAAAAAAAAAUUCCUACGAUAUAAAUAAGAGUAAACCACCAACCUUCUCCCCAACAAAAAGACAGAGAAAGUUAUCCCUCAAAAUUUGAAAAUGACAAAUAAGUCUCUGCCUCACAAAUUGAGCUGAUUAAUAUGUUCACUUUUAUAUUAAUUGAUGAAGUAAUACCCCAAAUCAAAAUAGAAAUUUGUUAGGAACUAAAGUGUUUGACAAAAACUAUUGGAUAUUGAUUUUGGGUAUUACUCUAAAUAAUGAGGAAUGAAUUUGGCCAAUGAAGGAUAAUUUUUUCAGAGUAAUACUCCUAAUCAUUUCGUAAAACUUUUAAUAUGACUUCAGUUUUCAACAAAUUUAAGCACUAAAUCGGUUCCCAAUCCUUUAUUUUGUUAGAAAAAUCGAUUCCGACAUUAGAUUGUAUAAAGGGACUUGAAAAAAUUCUCAGAACUGAUUUGUCUAACUCUAUCAAACUGUGAGUGAUGACUGAUUUGUCGAACAAAAUAAAAAGUAAAGUUAGGAACUUAUUUGGCACUUAAAAUUUGUUUAGGAUUAAAGUAUUUGACUAAGUUUCUUAAAGACUGAUUUGGGGUAUUGUUCAUU